AUGACAAUCGCCUUUAUAAGAAGAGGAGAAGACUUAAACACACAGAGGGAAGAAGGCCAAGUGAAGACAGAGGCAGAGACUGGAGUUGUGCUAUCACAAGCCAAGGAACGUCUGGACCUACCAAGAGCGAGCAGAGUGCACCUGGGGAAUGAUGUCAUUUCAAGGACUCAGUGCUGGUUGCUACUGCUGGCAGAUUGGGCAUCCAUCAGUGGCUAUGGUCAGGCUGACCUUGGAUUCUCCUUCCUAGGAGAACUUCAAAUCUCCCAGGGAUGCUUAAAUUUCUUCUUGAAGGAGAAGCAGAACACCUGCUCUGUCAGUGAUGCAAGCCACUCUUCUUUAUAAUUGCUGCCACACGGUGUCGCUGUUGAAAUACAGGGAACAUAGCCACCCAG
rnacentral:lncRNA from 1 species